rnacentral:tRNA from 1 species
AGGAUUAUAGUUUUAUUUAAAACAUUUGACUUGCAUUCAAAUAAAAUUGAAAUUAAUUCAAUUAAUCUUU